GACGAACGCUGGCGGCGUGCCUAACACAUGCAAGUCGAGCGGAGAUGUACUGAAGAUUUAUCGGAUGUACAUCUUAGCGGCGGACGGGUGAGUAACGCGUGGGCAACCUGCCCCUUUCAUCGGAAUAACCAGUGGAAACGCUGGCUAAUGCCGAAUACGACCACCGAAGGCAUCUUCUGGUGGUGGAAAGCUCCGGCGGAAAGGGAUGGACUCGCGGCCUAUCAGCUUGUUGGUGAGGUAAUGGGCUCACCAAGGCAACGACGGGUAGCCGGCCUGAGAGGGUGACCGGCCACACUGGGACUGAGACACGGCCCAGACUCCUACGGGAGGCAGCAGUGGGGAAUAUUGGACAAUGGGCGAAAGCCUGAUCCAGCAACGCCGCGUGAGGGAUGACGGCCUUCGGGUUGUAAACCUCUUUCAGUAGGGACGAAGCGAAAGUGACGGUACCUACAGAAGAAGGACCGGCCAACUACGUG
rnacentral:rRNA from 1 species